AAGGCCUUCGGGUUGUAAAGCUCUGUCGGAGGGGACAAAAAACACUUAGGUUAAUAGCCUAGGUGCUUGAUGGUACCCUUAAAGGAAGCACCGACUAACUUCGUGC
rnacentral:rRNA from 1 species